rnacentral:lncRNA from 1 species
UAGGCCCCACGUGAGCCUCAGGGAGCCCCCAGCGUCUUCACUGUUGUUGUCGUUAGUGUUAUCCCAAGAGUGCUCAACUGUAAAACGUUCUUUGCUUUUUUGUUAAGAGGAACAAAUAGCGAAGGUUUUGCUUUCAGGGGAAGAAGAGGAAGAGACGCAGUCAUCUGCUGAUGACCUCACCCCGUCCGUGACCUCCCACGAGGCCUCUGACCUCUUCCCAAACCGGAGUGGAUGUAGGUGACCCUAUUCCAGUCCUCUCCCAUGCCCAGGCCCCAGGCCAGGCAAGGGUGAUGCUGAUGAAGGGCCCUGGGGCUGGUGCGGGCCAAGAAUUCAUCACAGAUGAGGGAGUCUGCCUGAUGGGAAGCAUUGGUAGCCCGGGGGUGUGCCUUGUUCUCCCCCACCCUGGCCAGUAAGCAGGGACUGUUGGAGUGAUUCAGUUUAAACAAGGAGGGAAUGUGCUGGUUCCGUAGCAGAUCUAGAGACCAUCCCCAUAGCUGUCCUCCCCCGCAAGCCUGUGUGCUGGCUUUCCUGGGAGCUGAGAGCUGGGGCCCAGCGGUGCAGCAGCUGCUUGGAAGGGAAGGGAAGGGAAAGCCUCUUUCUUCAAAGUGCACCCCGGGUCCUGGGUUCCGUGCCCAUCCACGUCUCGGUGUCUGGCCAGGGACGGGGUCACAGCCUGGGGAUCAAGUGGAUGAAGAGUGGGAGUGGAGGGUCUUUGCCCGGAGAAGGGGCCGUGCAGGCUGCCGGCAGUGGAGACCCUGGGGGACCUGCCUCCAUUUUCCCAAAGCUCGUUUCCUGGCUGAUGAAGUCAAAGAACCUGGCUCUUCUGCCUCCUCUGACCCUGAGGAGGACUCCCUUCCUGCCAACAAAUGUAAGAAGGAGAUCAUGGUGGGACCUCAGUUCCAAGCUGACCUCAGCAGCCUGCACUUGAAC